rnacentral:rRNA from 1 species
AUUGAACGCUGGCGGUAUGCUUAACACAUGCAAGUCGAACGCGAACGGUUCUUCGGAACCUAUUAGAGUGGCGGACGGGUGAGUAAUGCAUAGGAAUCUGCCUAGUAGUGGGGGACAACCUGGUGAAAACCAGGCUAAUACCGCAUACGUCCUACGGGAGAAAGUGGGGGAUCUUCGGACCUCACGCUAUUAGAUGAGCCUAUGUCAGAUUAGCUAGUUGGUGGGGUAAAGGCCUACCAAGGCGACGAUCUGUAGCUGGUUUGAGAGGAUGAUCAGCCACACUGGGACUGAGACACGGCCCAG